ACGCGCCCGAUCUCGUCUGAUCUCGGAAGCUAAGCAGGGUCGGGCCUGGUUAGUACUUGGAUGGGAGAAGUUACAGCUUCAGGCCGGGCACAGUGGCUCGUGCCUGUAAUCCCAGCUACCAGGGGAGGCUGAGGCAGGAGAAUCGCUUGAACCUGGGAGGUGGAGGUUGCAAUGAGCCGAGAUCACGCCACUGCACUCCAGCCUGGGCAACAAGAGCGAAACUCCGUCUCAAAAAAAAAAAAAAAAGUUACAGCUUCAUACACCCAAACCUGAUAGUUCUGACAACGUACCUAUUUUUUAAAACAGUCGGGCCAGGCACAGUGGCUCAUGUCUAUAAUCCCAGCACUUUGGUAGGCCAAGGCGGAUGGAUCACCUGAGGUCGAGAGUUCAAGACCAGCCUGACCAACAUGGAGAAACCCCAUUUCUACCAAAAAUACAAAAUUAGCUGGGCAUGGUGGUGCACGCCUGUAAUCCCAGCUACUCGGGAGGCUGAGGCAGGAGAAUUGCUUGAACCUGGGAGGCGGAGGUUGCAGUGAGCGGAGAUUGUACCAUUGCACUCCAGCCUGGCCAAUAAGAGUGAAACUCUGUCCCCA
rnacentral:lncRNA from 1 species